CAAAGUCACACUGGUUUUGUUUAUUGCAGGCUAAGAGGGAACACAUGGAGAAUUACCACAGCUCAUCUGAUAUAUGGUAAGUUAUUAAGCUUGUAAGUCUUCAGUCCCUAUUUUCUGAUUUAGAUCUGACACAGGAAAUGGAAGACAAUAAUUAAUGAGUGGAAGAGGAGAUAUGGCUUUACAAUAGAGAGAGAUGUAUCCAUGCUGGUGUUCCCUCAUUCCUUCCGCAGUGCCACAGGAAUGCUAUUGCUCUGAGCUCAGAUUUUGCUUGUGCUUCCAAGAAUACCCUCUGGAGACUUAAGGGUCAAGUGUGCCAUUGCAGCAUGUGUCUUGAUGGAAAUGUGUGUCUUUAUGGCGAGGCACCUCGGCCGGGGAAGGACAGAGAAUAAAGCUGCUUGGAAGAGCACCCAAAACGCCAUAGGGAGCCCUGGACGAAUCUUGUGUGAAAAGCCCAAUACUGCAAGGCACGGUGCGCAUUUCUGGGCCCAACACCCCCCGAAGUCCCCGGGUUUCAGGACAAGAGGGUGAUGCUUACAGGACCAGGGCUGCCUCCAGCACCGUCGCGUCCCCUCGAGGUGUCGAUAGCUGCCGCCCCGCGCUGUGCGCA